CCUACGGGAGGCAGCAGUGAGGAAUAUUGGUCAAUGGGCGGAAGCCUGAACCAGCCAAGUCGCGUGAGGGAAUAAGGCCCUACGGGUCGUAAACCUCUUUUGCCGGGGAGCAAGGGCGGGGACGUGUCCCGGCCCGGGGAGUACACGGAGAAAAAGCAUCGGCAAACCCCGGGCCAGAAGCCGCGGUAAUCCGGAGGAUGCGAGGGUUAUCCGGAUUGAUGGGGUUUAAAGGGUGCGUAGGGGGGCUUUUACGUCAGGGGUAAAAAUUCGGGGCUCAACCCCGUCCGGCCGUUGAAACUGGGGGCCUUGAGUGGGCGAGAAGAAGGCGGAAUGCGUGGUGUAGCGGUGAAAUGCAUAGAUAUCACGCAGAACCCCGAUUGCGAAGGCAGCCUUCCGGCGCCCUACUGACGCUGAGGCACGAAAGUGCGGGGAUCGAACAGGAUUAGAUACCCGAGUAGUC
rnacentral:rRNA from 1 species